UGAUCAAUGUUUUGUUGUAGCUGUGCAAAAAUGGUAAAGCGUUACCCUGUCCUGCUAAUACGUACGUAAAGUGUAACACAACGUGGUGUCCAGAGAAAUGUUACCCAUGCGAGAAAGGAACAGUGUGUUUUGAAGGCAAGAAGUAUGAUUGUAUGCCAGGAACCUACAGUGAUGGAACAGGGUUCCCAUGCAAGUUAUGUCCCCCAGGAAGCUAUAAUAACCAAACGCGAGCCGAGACGUGCCACUGUUGUCCUGAUGGUUACAGUAGCACAGUCAUGAAAACCUCAUGUAAGGCGUGUAUCGCCAAGGAACGUGCUUUCCAUCUAACCUUCCCAAACUGUUCAUUCUGUCAGACGUGUUCAAGUGAAGCAGAAUGUAAGUAGAAUACUUUCCCAU